rnacentral:rRNA from 1 species
UACAGGGGGGGCAAGCGUUAUUCGGAUUUACUGGGCGUAAAGGGUGUGUAGGCGGCUUGAAAAGUUAGAAGUGAAAUGCCGAAGCUUAACUUCGGAACUGCUUUUAAAACUAUCAAGCUAGAGUCAGGGAGAGGAUAGUAGAAUUUCUAGUGUAGGGGUGAUAUCCGUAGAUAUUAGAAGGAAUACCAGAGGCGAAGGCGGCUGUCUGGAACUGUACUGACGCUGAGGCACGAAAGCGUGGGGAGCAAACAGG